UUAGAGCGAAACCAUUACUUU
rnacentral:sRNA from 1 species